ACGCUAGCGGGAGGCCUAACACAUGCAAGCCGAGCGGUAUUUGUCUUUCGGGACAGAGAGAGCGGCGUACGGGUGCGGAACACGUGUGCAACCUACCUUUAUCAGGGGGAUAGCCUUUCGAAAGGGAGAUUAAUACCCCAUAAUAUAUUGAUUGGCAUCAGUUAAUAUUGAAAACUCCGGUGGAUAGAGAUGGGCACGCGCAAGAUUAGAUAGUUGGUAGGGUAACGGCCUACCAAGUCAGUGAUCUUUAGGGGGCCUGAGAGGGUGAUCCCCCACACUGGUACUGAGACACGGACCAGACUCCUACGGGAGGCAGCAGUGAGGAAUAUUGGACAAUGGGUGAGAGCCUGAUCCAGCCAUCCCGCGUGAAGGACGACGGCCCUAUGGGUUGUAAACUUCUUUUGUAUAGGGAUAAACCUACUCUCGUGAGAGUAGCUGAAGGUACUAUACGAAUAAGCACCGGCUAACUCCGUGCCAGCAGCCGCGGUAAUACGGAGGGUGCAAGCGUUAUCCGGAUUUAUUGGGUUUAAAGGGUCCGUAGGCGGAUCUGUAAGUCAGUGGUGAAAUCUCAUAGCUUAACUAUGAAACUGCCAUUGAUACUGCAGGUCUUGAGUAAAGUAGAAGUGGCUGGAAUAAGUAGUGUAGCGGUGAAAUGCAUAGAUAUUACUUAGAACACCAAUUGCGAAGGCAGGUCACUAUGUUUUAACUGACGCUGAUGGACGAAAGCGUGGGGAGCGAAAC
rnacentral:rRNA from 1 species